rnacentral:rRNA from 1 species
GCACCGGCUAACUCCGUGCCAGCAGCCGCGGUAAUACGGAGGGUGCGAGCGUUAAUCGGAAUUACUGGGCGUAAAGCGCAUGCAGGUGGUUUGUUAAGUCAGAUGUGAAAGCCCGGGGCUCAACCUCGGAAUUGCAUUUGAAACUGGCAAACUAGAGUACUGUAGAGGGGGUAGAAGUUUCAGGUGUAGCGGUGAAAUGCGUAGAGAUCUGAAGGAAUACCGGUGGCGAAGGCGGCCCCCUGGACACGAUACUGACACUCAGAUGCGAAAGCGUGGGGAGCAAACAGGAUUAGAUACCCUGACAG